rnacentral:rRNA from 1 species
AGCGUACACGGUGGAUGCCCUGGCAGUCAGAGGCGAUGAAGGACGUGCUAAUCUGCGAUAAGCGUCGGUAAGGUGAUAUGAACCGUUAUAACCGGCGAUUUCCGAAUGGGGAAACCCAGUGUGUUUCGACACACUAUCAUUAACUGAAUCCAUAGGUUAAUGAGGCGAACCGGGGGAACUGAAACAUCUAAGUACCCCGAGGAAAAGAAAUCAACCGAGAUUCCCCCAGUAGCGGCGAGCGAACGGGGAGCAGCCCAGAGCCUGAAUCAGUGUGUGUGUUAGUGGAAGCGUCUGGAAAGGCGCGCGAUACAGGGUGACAGCCCCGUACACAAAAAUGCACAUGCUGUGAGCUCGAUGAGUAGGGCGGGACACGUGGUAUCCUGUCUGAAUAUGGGGGGACCAUCCUCCAAGGCUAAAUACUCCUGACUGACCGAUAGUGAACCAGUACCGUGAGGGAAAGGCGAAAAGAACCCCGGCGAGGGGAGUGAAAAAGAACCUGAAACCGUGUACGUACAAGCAGUGGGAGCACGCUUAGGCGUGUGACUGCGUACCUUUUGUAUAAUGGGUCAGCGACUUAUAUUCUGUAGCAAGGUUAACCGAAUAGGGGAGCCGAAGGGAAACCGAGUCUUAACUGGGCGUUAAGUUGCAGGGUAUAGACCCGAAACCCGGUGAUCUAGCCAUGGGCAGGUUGAAGGUUGGGUAACACUAACUGGAGGACCGAACCGACUAAUGUUGAAAAAUUAGCGGAUGACUUGUGGCUGGGGGUGAAAGGCCAAUCAAACCGGGAGAUAGCUGGUUCUCCCCGAAAGCUAUUUAGGUAGCGCCUCGUGAAUUCAUCUCCGGGGGUAGAGCACUGUUUCGGCAAGGGGGUCAUCCCGACUUACCAACCCGAUGCAAACUGCGAAUACCGGAGAAUGUUAUCACGGGAGACACACGGCGGGUGCUAACGUCCGUCGUGAAGAGGGAAACAACCCAGACCGCCAGCUAAGGUCCCAAAGUCAUGGUUAAGUGGGAAACGAUGUGGGAAGGCCCAGACAGCCAGGAUGUUGGCUUAGAAGCAGCCAUCAUUUAAAGAAAGCGUAAUAGCUCACUGGUCGAGUCGGCCUGCGCGGAAGAUGUAACGGGGCUAAACCAUGCACCGAAGCUGCGGCAGCGACGCUGAUGCGUUGUUGGGUAGGGGAGCGUUCUGUAAGCCUGUGAAGGUGUGCUGUGAGGCAUGCUGGAGGUAUCAGAAGUGCGAAUGCUGACAUAAGUAACGAUAAAGCGGGUGAAAAGCCCGCUCGCCGGAAGACCAAGGGUUCCUGUCCAACGUUAAUCGGGGCAGGGUGAGUCGACCCCUAAGGCGAGGCCGAAAGGCGUAGUCGAUGGGAAACAGGUUAAUAUUCCUGUACUUGGUGUUACUGCGAAGGGGGGACGGAGAAGGCUAUGUUGGCCGGGCGACGGUUGUCCCGGUUUAAGCGUGUAGGCUGGUUUUCCAGGCAAAUCCGGAAAAUCAAGGCUGAGGCGUGAUGACGAGGCACUACGGUGCUGAAGCAACAAAUGCCCUGCUUCCAGGAAAAGCCUCUAAGCAUCAGGUAACAUCAAAUCGUACCCCAAACCGACACAGGUGGUCAGGUAGAGAAUACCAAGGCGCUUGAGAGAACUCGGGUGAAGGAACUAGGCAAAAUGGUGCCGUAACUUCGGGAGAAGGCACGCUGAUAUGUAGGUGAAGCGACUUGCUCGUGGAGCUGAAAUCAGUCGAAGAUACCAGCUGGCUGCAACUGUUUAUUAAAAACACAGCACUGUGCAAACACGAAAGUGGACGUAUACGGUGUGACGCCUGCCCGGUGCCGGAAGGUUAAUUGAUGGGGUUAGCCGCAAGGCGAAGCUCUUGAUCGAAGCCCCGGUAAACGGCGGCCGUAACUAUAACGGUCCUAAGGUAGCGAAAUUCCUUGUCGGGUAAGUUCCGACCUGCACGAAUGGCGUAAUGAUGGCCAGGCUGUCUCCACCCGAGACUCAGUGAAAUUGAACUCGCUGUGAAGAUGCAGUGUACCCGCGGCAAGACGGAAAGACCCCGUGAACCUUUACUAUAGCUUGACACUGAACAUUGAGCCUUGAUGUGUAGGAUAGGUGGGAGGCUUUGAAGUGUGGACGCCAGUCUGCAUGGAGCCGACCUUGAAAUACCACCCUUUAAUGUUUGAUGUUCUAACGUUGACCCGUAAUCCGGGUUGCGGACAGUGUCUGGUGGGUAGUUUGACUGGGGCGGUCUCCUCCUAAAGAGUAACGGAGGAGCACGAAGGUUGGCUAAUCCUGGUCGGACAUCAGGAGGUUAGUGCAAUGGCAUAAGCCAGCUUGACUGCGAGCGUGACGGCGCGAGCAGGUGCGAAAGCAGGUCAUAGUGAUCCGGUGGUUCUGAAUGGAAGGGCCAUCGCUCAACGGAUAAAAGGUACUCCGGGGAUAACAGGCUGAUACCGCCCAAGAGUUCAUAUCGACGGCGGUGUUUGGCACCUCGAUGUCGGCUCAUCACAUCCUGGGGCUGAAGUAGGUCCCAAGGGUAUGGCUGUUCGCCAUUUAAAGUGGUACGCGAGCUGGGUUUAGAACGUCGUGAGACAGUUCGGUCCCUAUCUGCCGUGGGCGCUGGAGAACUGAGGGGGGCUGCUCCUAGUACGAGAGGACCGGAGUGGACGCAUCACUGGUGUUCGGGUUGUCAUGCCAAUGGCACUGCCCGGUAGCUAAAUGCGGAAGAGAUAAGUGCUGAAAGCAUCUAAGCACGAAACUUGCCCCGAGAUGAGUUCUCCCUGACUCCUUGA